GGACAUUAUUUUUUACAAAAUUUUGAAAAUGAUCGAAUUGAAUUAGAUAUUCAACAACUUCUUCAUGUCAAUGAAACGAAUCUGCAAUGAAAUAUAAUAUCAAAAUGAUCGAUUGCAAGCCAAUGUUUUGUUAAGACCUUGGAAACUGACAAUCUAACGAGAUACCUUCCUUAACCGACAUUGAUCAGUAGGGUGGUGCUCGUUACAUCAGAUAUUUCAUUACCUCCGCUCCUUUUACAUCAAAUAUUUCAUUACCGGUCCAUCCGUCAGAUUUAAUCGCAAGAAUCGUCGCCUUAGGUCUUGGUCGCCAAUUUUUCAUGAGAUAUUUUACAUUCUGAAUCCAUGAUAUUGAUGAAAAAGGUUAACGAAAGGCUUUAUCACCACUGAAUAUAAGUAAUAAUUCUUUUUUCGCCAUUUGUGUUGCCUGCCUGAACUUUCUUGACUCAGAUGAAUAAGAGGUUAUUUUACAUUUGUUUGGUGAGAGUUUAAACAUGAAACCUGAAUAUUUAUAUUGAAAUGAUUUUCCAAAAUAUGGAAAGAUAUCAUUUGUUUAAUUAUUUGAUCGAUUUUUAUAUGGAUUUUUUAAAAUAAAGAUUAAUAUUAAAGAUUCUAAUGAAUCCUCUCAUAUCAAAUCUUUUUAUUUUAAAUUUACAAUUUGCAGCCUCCUUUUUAUUAUUAUUAUUA
rnacentral:lncRNA from 1 species